rnacentral:rRNA from 1 species
GAUGAACGCUGGCGGCGUGCCUAAUACAUGCAAGUCGAGCGAACAGACGAGGAGCUUGCUCCUCUGAUGUUAGCGGCGGACGGGUGAGUAACACGUGGAUAACCUACCUAUAAGACUGGGAUAACUUCGGGAAACCGGAGCUAAUACCGGAUAACAUGUUGAACCGCAUGGUUCAACAGUGAAAGACGGUCUUGCUGUCACUUAUAGAUGGAUCCGCGCCGCAUUAGCUAGUUGGUAAGGUAACGGCUUACCAAGGCAACGAUGCGUAGCCGACCUGAGAGGGUGAUCGGCCACACUGGAACUGAGAAACGGUCCAGACUCCUACGGGAGGCAGCAGUAGGGAAUCUUCCGCAAUGGGCGAAAGCCUGACGGAGCAACGCCGCGUGAGUGAAGAAGGUCUUCGGAUCGUAAAACUCUGUUAUUAGGGAAGAACAAAUGUGUAAGUAACUAUGCACGUCUUGACGGUACCUAAUCAGAAAGCCACGGCUAACUACGUG